CCCGGAACAUACAUUCGAUCUUCCACCGACCCUCUGAAGUAGACAGAUAUCCAGAAAAUGAAGGCUGCUAUUGUUAUUCUGGCUGCCAUGCUGCUGUGUGGAGCUGCACGUGCACACGUGAUUCCCUUCUAUGGUGGGAGACGCCCCGCGGUGCCAGGCGGCUUCCUCGGCGGCUUCAGUGGCUUCCGCGGCGGCUUUAGCGGCUUCCGCGGCGGGUUCCCCGGAGGCGUCAACGUAGGGUACCCCAGUGGCCACUACGGCGACUUUGGCGGCUAUGGCGAUUAUCUCUACGACGUCUACGAUCAUCCCAGCACAACAGGAGUCAGAACCCUGUCCCGGCCUGCCGUGAAGGGAACCUACUAGAAGACAUAACUAGAGGUUUCAUGCAUACAACGACGUUUAUAAGAAUUUGACAUGGCUGAUUUUGUUUUGUAAACGUUUUGAGUAAUAAAUGUUUGUUGAA